AGGCUGAAGCUGCAGUCUUUUCACCCACCGCUUUCCCGUGAGGUAAAGAGAAUGUUCAUACCUCAGGUCUUGUUACCAAGCAACAGAGUCCCAUUUGCCAAUUGCCACCAUUUCCUUCUCACAGUAUUACAGGCCUUAUUAUUAACAUUUAGUUCAGAGAAAUUGCUGUCAUUAUGUGAAGUAACUUCCUUUAGAGGUUAUUCAUUAACCUUAGGUAUUUUACUGUGUAAUUGUAAUUGUCAAGUGCCGCAGGCUUGGAAAAACCUUUGAACUCCUCAAGGUAUGAGGGGAUGGCAGAGAGGACAGUAUCUGAUUUUUGCCCUCCCUUUUCUAGUUGUUUUAAUCUUGAAGGUGUCUCAUUUUCCCUGUGGAGGUGGCUGCCUUCCUAGAGGGUAAACUUCCAGAUUGCUGACCGUAAGCUCAGAAGAUAACUAUGGAGGUACUGGCCAGGGAGAGUCUGAUUUCCUCAAAUACUCUAGACUAGAGGGAAAUGGUAUCCUCUUAAGGAAAAAAUCGCGGGGGUAUUCAUAAGACCCGCAUGGUUGGCGCAUACUCUGGUGUGAAGGUGGGACUCCGCGAAGACGUCGCACAGUACCUGGAAUUGUGUAUUGUGCACAACCUUGUGCUGAGACAACGGAAAACCGCCAUCUUAUUGCUCACUCAAUGCCUCCAUAACACCAAUUUUUCACUCCCGGGCUUUGCAGCAGCCCGGUGUACUUUCCAUAAUACGCCUAUUACACAGGCAUCCUCACUAGCCAUCGCUUACACAAUUACCCGUGUGAUUUUCUCCAUCCCGGCGUGGUUGCCAUCGUCUUCGGUCCCCACCCAGUAUAACUUCGGGCGCCUGCAUCACGGGUGCCCUAAAAAAAUAGGAGACGCGUUCCCCUCCUCCCAGGUUUCUGGUUUCUCCACCCAGUCUCCCCACCGUCCUCCACUCCUCGCACCCCAGCCCUUCCGGCCUCCACCCAGACCGGGGAGAAGCGGGCCUGACAUUCCAGCGUGCACUUUGAUCGUGACCCCUGAACAGGCACGGCCAGCCCUGGGGUUUUCUGGCGUUAACCGAAGCUGCAGGCAAAAGCAGCGCGAUCUCCGGGAGGAGAGUCCGAACAGGCUGUACGGGAGCCGCAGCACAAGUCUGGACGCAGAGGCUGCGCGCGGGAGCAGGGCUGGCCGCCCUGGCAGGAGCCCGAGCUGCAGGCCUCGGCUGGGAAGUGGGUCCCUCCGUCAUUUCCCCUGCCUCCACGGUCCCCAGCUUGCCUUUGACAGCUCUCUUCUUUGAUCUGUAAAACAGAAGGGAAUUGGGGAUACUUUGAUAUUCUUUAAAAGGCCCUGGGAUUUGCUGCUUUCUCCCCAAAUGAAGGGCUGCUGGAGAGUUUCUGGAAGGAACGUGCUGUCACAUGUAAUCUAAUGAGCUUGGCCUCUUCUUCCAGUGCCCAUUAAUCAAUCAGCCAACACUGAAUGCGUCUAAGUGUGGAUUCUGUGUGCAGCCCGGAAGUAAGGGCAUGGUCUCUGCUUUUAAGGUAUUUAUGGUUUAGCUGGGGAGCUGGGGAUAUACCUGAGUGUAAAACGUGACAAUAGCUAACACUUAGUACUAGGAGAAGGCAAUGGCACCCCACUCCAGUGCUCUUCCCUGGAAAAUCCCAUGGACGGAGGAGCCUGGUAGGCUGCAGUCCAUGGCGUCUCGAAGAGUCAGACUCGACUGAAGCGACUUAGCAGCAACAGCAGCAGCACUGAGUACUAACUAGGUACCAGUUUCUGUGUGGCGCUUUCUUUUAUUCCUCAAAACACGCCAUCAAAUAGGUACUGUAAUAUCAUCCUCAUUUUACAGAGGUUUUGGCCAGAGCCCAGGUCACAGGGCAGGGGCAGUCAGGCUGUGUGCAUCAGGUCUGGCCUGCUUCAGAGGAGGGAGCUGCUUGUGCAGGCCAAGUCUGUUGAACAUCCAGUAAUGAUGAUCGGUCAGUGCCUUUGACCUCAUCCUCUCCGCUCUGGUUCAGAGGCUGUCCUUGCCCUCUCGCUCUGGAGAGCAGGAAACGUGUCCCAAGGAACCUUUUUAGCCACCAGUGCCCUUUGGGAUGCUUCACACUGUUCUGUUUCUUCUUCCUCUGUCUUUUCUUGCUCAACAAUCACAGUCCAGUUCAUUUUUCCCUAGGUAACAUUAACCUUAUACAUAUGUCUUGUUAGUCCCUUGUGAUUAUAUUAUCCAAAUAGAGAGAAGGGACCUAAUUCAAAACAAAUAAAUGUACAAAGCAUGUGAAGCAGAACUUCAUCUCAAUGCCGUGGGACUCGGUGAUGUCUUGGGUUCCUUCCUCUGACUUUGAAUCAUUCCUUCCCUCUCUGUUUUAUGUGGAGCGGUGACCUUCCUUAAACAUAGGUAGACUCAGUAUAGCAUAUUCAACUCAAUUUGCACUCAUGAUG
ensembl:lncRNA